CAAUAAGUUACAAAGGGCUUAAGGUGGAUGCCUUGGGACUAGAUGGCGAUGAAGGACGUGCAAAUCUGCGAUAUGCUAUGGGUAGCCGAUAAGGGGCGAUGAUUCAUAGAUCUCCGAAUGAGGAAACUCACUUAAUAGAAAUAUUAAGUAUUAUUAACUAAAUACAUAGGUUAAUAAAGAUAUACCCACUGAAGUGAAUCAUCUCAGUAAGUGGAGGAAAAGAAAUCAACGAGAUUCCCUAAGUAGUGCGAGCGAAAGGGGAGAAGGGCACAAGAUUCGAUCUUGUAUAAUACUUUAUAAAUUUAGCAGAAACUAUUGGGAAGUAGUGCAAUAUAGUGUGAUAGCCACGUAUGCGAAAAGUUUAUAAUUUGAAGCGAGUAAGACGGGACACGUGAAAUCCUGUUUGAAGAUGGGGCGACCAUGCUCCAACCCUAAAUACAAACUAGUCACCGAUAGCGAAUAGUACAGUGAUGGAACGGUGAAAAGAACCCAGAGAUGGGAGUGAAAUAGAAACUGAAACCAUAAGCCUACAACGAGUUAGAGCACAUUAAUGUGUGAUAGCGUGCGUUUUGAAGUAUGAGUCGGAGAGUUGUGUGGUGCAUGCAAGCUUAAGUCGUAGAGAUGGAGGCGUAGGGAAACCGAAUGUUAAGAGCGUGAUAAGUAUGUAUCAACAGACCCGAAACGGGGUGAUCUAGUCAUGGGCAGGUUGAAGGCUGAGUAAAAUCAUCUGGAGGACCGAACCCACUUUCGUUGAAAUGCCAGGGGAUGACCUGUGACUAGGGGAGAAAUUCCAAUCGAACUCCGUGAUGGCCGGUUCUCAUCGAUAUAGCUUUAAGGCUAGCGUCUUGUGUUUAUAUAUGAGGGUAGAGCUCUGAUUGACUGAUGGCGCCACCUCGGCGUACUGAAUUCUAUUAAACUACGAAUACCAUAUAACAAGCAAGGCAGUGAGACAGUGGGGGAUAAGCUCCAUUGUCGUGAGGAAAAGAGUCCAGAUCAUUAACUAAGGUCCCUAAUUUAUGCUAAGUGGAAAAGGAAGUUAAAUUUCUUAAACACCAAGGAUGUUGGCUUAGAAGCAGCCAUCGUUUAAAGAGUGCGUAACAGCUCACUUGUCGAGAAAUUUUGCGCCGAAAAUUCAACGGGGCUAAAGCAUAAAACCGAAGUUAUGGGUUUAAUAGUAUUACGAUAUUAUUAAGCGGUAGAUGAGCGUUGUAUACUGGGAUGAAGCCAGAGUGUGAACACUGGUGGACUGUAUACAAGUGAGAAUUCCGAUGUGAGUAACGAUUGAAUGUGAGAAUCAUUUAAGCCUAUUGAGUAAGGUUUCCAGGACUAGGGUCGUCCUUCCUGGGUUAGUCAGAACCUAAGAUGAGGCCGAAAGGCGUAGUCGAUGGAUGAAAUGUUAAUAUUCAUUUACUUGGUAUAUAGGUGAUGGAGUGACGGAGAAGGUUAGUGCGAGCCCAUUAAUGGAUUUGGGUGAAAGUACAAAGUGUUUCAAGUUGGCAAAUCCGCUUGAUUUAAGCACAAUGUAUGAGACGAAUGAAAGCUUCGGUAAGUAGUUUCAAGUUGCACACAUCAUGCUUCCUAGAAAAACUUCUAAACUUUAACUAUAUAUCAAUCUGUACCGAGAACGAACACACGUGCUCAAGCUGAAUAAGCUAAGGCUAGCGAGUUAAUAAUUGUUAAGGAACUCUGCAAAUUGACCCCGUAAGUUAGCGAUAAGGGGAGCUUGUAAUUAGUAUUUACAAGUCACAGAAAAUAGCGCGAAGGGACUGUUUAUCAAAAACACAGCUUUAUGCAAAAUCGCAAGAUGAAGUAUAUGAGGCGACACUUGCCCAGUGCUGGAAGGUUAAGGAAGUCGGUGCAAGCUGAUAACCGAAGCCCCAGUGAACGGCGGCCGUAACUAUAACGGUCCUAAGGUAGCAAAAUUCCUUGUCGGGUAAAUUCCGUCCCGCUUGAAAAGUGUAACCAUUUCGUGACUGUCUCGACAAUUACCUCGGUGAAAUCCUGGUAUGGGUGAAGACGCCCAUUUGGCGUGGUGGGACGGAAAGACCCCAUGAAGCUUUACUGUAACUUAGCAUUGUCUGGUUACUUAACAUUUAAAGUAUAGGCAGGAGACUUAGAAGGUGUGUCGCUAGAUGCACUGGAGUCAACAAGUGUAAUACUGCCAUUGUUAAUUAAUUAGUCUUACUCGCCGGAGUCAUCCUCCGGGGGAACCGUGUUAGGCGGACAGUUUGACUGGGGCGGUCGCCUCCUAAAAUGUAACGGAGGCGCGCAAAGGUACAUUCAGCACGGUUGGAAAUCGUGUAGCGAGCGUAAUGGUAUAAAGUGUGCUUGACUGUGAGGAUAACAAUCCGAACAGGUAAGAAAUUAGGUCAUAGUGAUCUGGCGGUUCCGAAUGGAAGGGCCGUCACUCAUCGGAUAAAAGUUACUCUGGGGAUAACAGGCUGAUGGUGUCCAAGAGUUCAUAUCGACGACACCGUUUGGCACCUCGAUGUCGACUCAUCUCAUCCUGGAGCUGUAGCAGGUUCCAAGGGUACGGCUGUUCGCCGUUUAAAGAGAUACGUGAGUUGGGUUCAAACCGUUGUGAAACAGGUUGGUCCCUAUCUGCCAUGCCCGCAGAAUGAUUGAGAAAAGUUGCUCCUAGUACGAGAGGAUCGGAGUGAACAUACCUCUUAUGUUCCUAUUGUAGCGCCAGCUGCACAGUAGGGUAGUAACGUAUGGAACGGAUAAGCGCUGAAAGCAUAUAAGUGCGAAGCCUCUUUCAAGAUAAAUCAUUCCUAACAGUCCGCAAGGAUGUGUUAAUAAGAAUCGUCAUAGACUAUGACGUUGAUAGGAUACAUGUGUAAGCCAAGUGAUUGGUUAAGCUGAGUAUUACUAAUAAUUCGAAAGACUUAUGUUU
rnacentral:rRNA from 1 species